GACAGAGGGUGCAAACGUUGUUCGGAAUUACUGGGCGUAAUGCGCGUGUAGGCGGCAAUACAAGUCGGAUGUGAAAUCCCGGGGCCCAACCCCGGAACUGCAUUCGAAACUGCCUCGCUAGAGUCCCGGAGAGGAAGGCGGAAUUCCCGGUGUAGAGGUGAAAUUCGUAGAUAUCGGGAGGAACACCAGCGGCGAAGGCGGCCUUCUGGACGGUGACUGACGCUGAGACGCGAAAGCGUGGGGAGCAAACAGG
rnacentral:rRNA from 1 species